rnacentral:tRNA from 1 species
UAGCUUAGUGGUUAGGGCAUUCGGCUUGCGAUCGUAAGGUCGUGGGUUCAAUUCCCAGC